rnacentral:piRNA from 1 species
AUAGUACUACCGGAGGAUCCA